UACAGAGGGGGCCAGUGUUAUUCGGAAUUAUUGGGCGUAAAGGGCGCGUAGGCGGCCAUGCGUGUCUUCCGUGAAAUCCCUCGGCUUAACUGAGGACGUGCGGAAGAAACUGCAAGGCUCGAGUCCGGGAGAGGGGGGUGGAAUUCCCAGUGUAGCGGUGAAAUGCGUAGAUAUUGGGAGGAACACCGGUGGCGAAGGCGGCCCCCUGGACCGGUACUGACGCUGAGGCGCGAAAGCGUGGGUAGCAAACGGG
rnacentral:rRNA from 1 species